UACGGGGGGGGCAAGCGUUGUUCGGAAUUACUGGGCGUAAAGGGCUCGUAGGCGGCCAACUAAGUCAGACGUGAAAUCCCUCGGCUUAACCGGGGAACUGCAUCUGAUACUGGAUGGCUUGAGUUCGGGAGAGGGAUGCGGAAUUCCAGGUGUAGCGGUGAAAUGCGUAGAUAUCUGGAGGAACACCGGUGGCGAAAGCGGCGCGCUGGACCUCUUCUGACGCUGAGGCGCGAAAGCCAGGGGAGCGAACGGG
rnacentral:rRNA from 1 species